UUGGUGUAAGGUGGCUAUUACUGUGUGGGUAUUAGGUGCCUAUAACUGUUGGUAUUAGGUGGCUAUUACUGUUGGUAUAAGGUGGCUAUUACUAUUUGUAUUAGGAGGCUAUUACUGUUUGUAUUAGGUGGCUAUUACUGUUGGCAUUAGGUGGCUAUUACUGUUAGUAUUAGGUGGCUAUUAUUGUUGGUAUUAGGUGGCUAUUACUGUUGGUAUUAGGUGGAUGUUGCUGUUGGUACUAGGUGGCUAUUGCUGUUUGUAUUAGGUGGCUAUUACUGAUGGUGUUAGGUGGCUAUUAGUGUUGGUAUCAGGUGGUUAUUACUGUUGGUAUUAGG